rnacentral:tRNA from 1 species
GGUGGGGUUCCCGAGCGGACAAAGGGAGCAGACUGUAAAUCUGCCGUCAUCGACUUCGAAGGUUCGAAUCCUUCCCCCACCACCA